rnacentral:lncRNA from 1 species
CAACCCCUCAAGUAGCUGGAACUACAGGGACAGGGUUUCGCUUUGUUGCCCAGGCUGGUCUCGAAUUCCUAAGCCCUAGUGAUCAUCCCACCUCAGCCUCCCAAACUGCUGAGGCUACAGACCUGCCACACCCGAAGCCUUCUUCAGCUCCAUGGAUGGCUCUCUUCUUCCAAUUGCCCAACAAAAACCCUGGCGUUGCCUUGAAGCACCCCACAUUGAAUCCAUUGGAAAAUCCUACUGGCUCUGCCUUCCUGACUCUGCCCACCGCUGCCUGCCUCCACUGCUCCCAACCUUGUCUGAGCCACAGUGACUUCUCACCUGGUUACUGCAAUGGCCCCAUCUACUCCCCCAGCUUCCUCCUUGUCCCCCUGAAGUUCAUUUAUUUUUAUUUUUAUUUUUAAAUUAAGUAGAGACAUAGUCUCACUAUGGUGUCCAGGCUGGUCUUGAACUCCUGAGCUCAAGUGAUCCUCCCGUCUCAGCCUCCCAAAGUGCUAGGAUUACAGGCAUGAGCCACCAUGCCUGGCCAUCCCUGCAGUUCAUUUUUUUUUUUUUUUUUUUGAGACGGUGUCUGGCUCUGUCACCCAGGCUGCACAAUCUCAGCUCACUGCAACCUCCACCUCCCAGGCUCAAGCCAUCCUUCCGCCUCAGCCUCCCACGUAGGUGGGACUAUGGGUGCACGCCACCACGCCCGGCUAAUUUUUGUGUUUUUUGUAGAGAUGGGGUUUCACCAUGUUGCCCAGGAUGGUCUUGAACUCUUGGCCUCAAGCAAUCUACCCACCUUGGCCUCCCAAAGUGCCAGGAUUACAGGUGUGAGCCACUGCACCCGGCCAUCCCUGCUGUUUAUUUUUAACACAGCAGGCAGAGUGACCCUUUAUGUGCCGGCUCCUUGCUCACUUUGCUACAGGCACUUUGGUCUCCUUGCUGCUCCUCAAACAUGAUAGGCACACUCCUACCUUAGGGCCUUUGCACUGACUUGACUGUUCCCUUUGACAGCAGUAAUCUUCCCUCCAACAGCAGCAUUUCUAAUUCUCACAUCUCUUUGAACUCUUCAUGCAAAUGUCAUCUCUUCUAUGAGGCCUACCCUGAUUACCUUAUGUAUUUGAGAAUAAAUAAAUAAAGCUGGAAUGCAGCAGCGUGAUCUCAGCUCACUGCAACCUCUGCCUCCCAGGCUCAAGUGAUCCUCCUACCUCAGCCUCCCAAGUAGCUGGGACUACAGAUGCAUGCCACCAUACCUGGCUAACUUUUGUAUUUUUAGUGGAGACAGCGUUUCACUAUGUUGGCCAGGCUGGUCUCGAACUCCUGACCUCAAGUGAUCCUCCCACCUAGGCCUCCCAAAGUGCUGGGAUUACAGACGUGAGCCACUGUGCCUGGCCCCUCAUUCCCCUCUUUAAAUGUGAAACAUCUAUCUUCAGCCCUCCCAAUCCCCUUACCCUGUUCUAAUCUUUCUUUCGUUUUUGGCGCUUAAGAUCUUACAGCAUGUUAUAUAAUUUACCUAUUUAUUUUCUGUCUUCCUCCUUUUUCCACCCACCUCCAACUAGAAAAUAAACUCCAUAUGAAAAAGAAUCUUUGUUUUGCUUACUGUUAUCUUUAUAGUACGUAAUAGGUACUCGGUACAUG